UUUUUUUGGCUAAACACCCUAUAGUGGCGGUCCUACUAGUCCAUGUAUCAGCUAAAGUUAUUUCCCUCUAUGGUACAAAUCCCAUUUCUUUUAUGGAUUCCAAUACACUUUCACUUUUCGAUUUCAAAUAAUACUUCUUCAAUCACUUAUCACCAAAUAUUCAAUUUUGUGACGUCGGUCACUUCAUUUCGUUCAUCUCCAUGAUACUUUCACAUUCUACCUUCAAUCACUCCAUGUGAUAUACCAAGUAUCUUUGAGCCAAAUACACUACCUCUUU
rnacentral:lncRNA from 1 species